UUCCUAAUCUUAUUAGUACUUUUUGAUCUUCCCUUGUCCCGUAUUCCUCCCAAACAUCAUUGGAUUUAAGAAAUUUGAGGAUCAUAUCGGAAAGAUGGGCAAGCUUUUGGAUUUGAAUCAUGCGACAUUUUUGCCGAUUCCACCUCCCCUGCCUCAUCGUACGCAGAAGAAACCUUUAUUCAUUAUCGGAGCAGACCAACGAGGAAACAGUGCCGCACCUUCGCCUCCUCGUCGAACCGCCGGAUGGAUCUUUUUUUCGAUGAAGGAUAUCGAGCCGAUGUCGCCAUUAGCACAGAUGACGGCGCUAUCAUCUAUGCACAUGCUAGUAUUCUCGGUGUGUCUUCGCCGGUUAUGAAAACAAUGUUGAGAAAACCAAGACGCAUGCGUGGCGAUCGGAUUGCAAUCUCGAUCCAUGAAGUUCCGUCCGAGGCUGUCUCCAUUUUUGUUCGCUUUUUGUAUUCUUCCUGCUAUAAUGAAGG